rnacentral:lncRNA from 1 species
GGGACUGGGACAGGGACAUGUUUGGGAGCCACCAUUCUGCUGACUGCAGUGGCCACCCAAGUCCUUUAAUUUACAUACCUACCGCUGGCAACGGCCUAUGUCAGAACCACUGGGAGGGCUUGUUGAAAUGCGGAUUGCUGGGCCCCACUCCCAGAUUUUCUAAUUCAGUGGGUUUAGGGAAGGACCUGAGAAUUUGCAUUUCUUAUGGAUUUCAAGGUGAUACUGAUGCUGCUGUUCCUAGAAUCACAUUUUGAGACCCCCUGGGCUAAGAGAAGGUAGAAUUCCUUGACUUGGUUUCCCACAGAGCCCACAUAUUUAUGGGGAGAGCAAUUUCCUAAAAGAUCCAUGGGAAGCAGAAGCCAGGAGAGAGGGAAGGGUUGCAUGUGGCAGGGACUCCCAGGUCCAGCUUGUUAGGGGCUUCUGCUCUGGAAAAAUGUGUGAUGCACCAAGGAAGGUCUAAGAGGAAGGUGCUCAGAAUGAUAGAGGAGGGUAGAGAGAGGCUGUUUCAUCUAACCUCAGAAGUCACACAUUUCCAUUUUCUUAAUAUCUGAUUGGUCACAAAGGGGCAGCCCUGAUUCAAUAUGGCAGAUGACUACACAGGGCAUGAAUAUUGGGAGGCAGAGAUCACUGGGCACCAUCUUAGAAUUUGGCUAUGACGUGAGCCAACUUUUUCUUCAGGAUAAAUUCCUAUCUAAGGGGUCUGGGGAGUAGCCACGAUUAUUCUGGGUCUCUCUUAGAGUCACUAUACAUGAAUGACAGUUUCUGUCCUCCUGCCAGUGUGUGCCUUUCACUAAACCAGAGGCUGCAAAGAGACAGCCAAGCUGUUUUUACUUUCUGGAUAUUGAAUCUCACUCUGUGCCAGGUGUGGUCUUGGGUGCUGGAGUGUGGUGUGGCCAGGGCAGAUGCAGUCACCUUACCUGGGGACCAUAACAGAGAAAACAGACAACAAGCAAGAUGAAUAAACAAAAAUGGAAUAAGUAAAACAAAUAGUAGAGUCCUGGAGUGAUUGGGGAACACAGGAUGCCCUUGAGUCUAGAGUGAGAGAAAGAGUGGGACUAUUAGUUCUGUUAUUUGCACUUGGUUGCGUCUGUUAGCUUGCUGCCACUGUUUUGUGACUGUGGUGUGUGAGCUUAUCUUCAGCGGACAUACCUUGCAGCUAAGGUUGAGGGAUACAUCUCCAAGGAAAUUUUGCAUAUGCUUCUUCUGGGCAUCUCAGACACUCAUCCUCAUCA